AUCUAGUCAAUAAUAGUGUUAACUUUAUUAUAUCGUAUUUAAAUAAGUACACGCACAGUAUCAAAGUAACUAGGGGUGCCAUUUAUAAUGGUCCCGGGUUUUAAGAUACGUGGAGCAUUCCGUCGACAGUACAAUAAUGUUUGACUUUUUAUCAUCAACAUUCUAUUAAAUGUUGUUAGAUUAUAAAGUUUAUUUAUACUUAAUAACUACUUACUUAAUAUAUACCUAGUUUACAAAUAAAUAAAAAGGUAUUUUAUUAAAAUCUAGUUCUUCAUCGGUGUUAUGACGAAUAGGUACUUAUGACGACUGGAUGCGCAGGGGUUUUGUCUGACUUCUCCCGAUGUGUUACCGCUGUCCAAUCAUGUUGAGACAGAUAUUUUUUAGAAUAUUAACGGCUUGUACGUUGUACCUACCAAGUAGGCGGUUUCCAACCAAUGCAUCAAUAUCGUAAAAAGAAGGGUGUCAUUCUAUCAGUGAGCUUGUCGAAACCGUCGACACACACGAUUGAUUAUAAUCAGUUUAGCACCAUCGCCAGUACCUACUGUCCACUAUCCACCUGAGAGGAUAUCUGGAUAUCUCAAGGACUUUGUAUUGUAUUAUACAAAGUCCUUGGGAUAGGGAACUAAAGAACCAUCGAAACUUUCGAUACUUCCCAAGGAUACACUAUUUCGAUUCGAAACAUGAACGAAACGGAAAUAACAAGAAGAAUCAUAGAAUAAUAUUGUUGUCCUAGAAGAAUAUCUAUGGUAGCGAAGACAUAUUCUUUGUCACGUCACUCUGACAACAUUCGGUAGAAAAUUUUCCAAUCUUUUAACGUUUUAUAAUAUUGUUUUGGUUUAUAAAGCAAUCAAAUAUGUCUGAAUCUAGCUUCAUUUGGUCUAUAAUCUGGCUGUGUGUGUUGGUAUUAAUUUCAUUUUGGAUCGCGGGGUUCGCAGCCCCCUGCUACAUCAUCCUAUUGCCCUUCACCGUUUACAUGACAUCGCUAAAGGAUACAACGGACUUCUUGAAAAAAGCAAUGGAAUUUCCAAAAUAUUGUGCCCAACAGAUGAAAGCCGGCAAAUCAUUGUCAUAGCGACACGAGCUGCUUCUGAAGCAGCUUUCCAAUGUCCGUUCAUUUACUCGUUGGUACCAAAGGUACUAGUCAAUAAUAAUGAAAGCAUAAUACCUGUGCUUAAAAGUAAAUAAAUGAAAUAUUUUCAA